rnacentral:rRNA from 1 species
CCUACGGGCGGCAGCAGUGGGGAAUAUUGGACAAUGGGCGAAAGCCUGAUCCAGCCAUGCCGCGUGUGUGAAGAAGGCCUUCGGGUUGUAAAGCACUUUCAGUGGGGAAGAAAGCCUUGGGGCUAAUACCCUCGAGGAAGGACAUCACCCACAGAAGAAGCACCGGCUAACUCCGUGCCAGCAGCCGCGGUAAUACGGAGGGUGCGAGCGUUAAUCGGAAUUACUGGGCGUAAAGCGCGCGUAGGCGGUCUGAUAAGCCGGUUGUGAAAGCCCCGGGCUCAACCUGGGAACGGCAUCCGGAACUGUCAGGCUAGAGUGCAGGAGAGGAAGGUAGAAUUCCCGGUGUAGCGGUGAAAUGCGUAGAGAUCGGGAGGAAUACCAGUGGCGAAGGCGGCCUUCUGGACUGACACUGACGCUGAGGUGCGAAAGCGUGGGUAGCAAACAGGAUUAGAACCCGGGUAGUC